CUCCAUUGAUAAAAAGUCUUUUAAAAUAGUACCAAAAACAAAUCCACAAAAACUUUACUCAAAGCAUAAAAUCAAGUUCGACAGACAGGUGACCAGUACCAGAUUCACCUCGAUGUAUUUGAGACGAGAAUUACUUCCUAAACCGUUUGAAAACCAUUGCAAGUCCCACUAGCUAAAUAACAUUAAAUAAGAAUUUUUCUACAUGAUAAUAUUUCAAAAGAUUUUGACUGCCAUAAAUUAACUUAAUCAAUGUUGUCCAGACACGACAGCCCCUACUAUAUCAUCGUACGUUCCAAAUCUAGGGAAAGGAAACAAGAAAUCUA
rnacentral:lncRNA from 1 species